GGGGAUAUAGCUCAGGGGCGAGAACUCUCCCUUAGCAUGGGAGAGGGCUGGGGUUCGAUUCCCCAUAUCUCCA
rnacentral:tRNA from 1 species